UUAUUACAGGACUCCCUCUGGAAAACACACAAACACACACACACACACACUCACACUCACACACACACACACACACACACACACACACACACACCACUGCAGACACACACACACACCACUGCACACACACACACACACACACACACAAACACACUGCAGACACACACACACCACUGCAGACACACACACACCACUGCAGACACAAGCACACACACACCACUGCAGACACACACACACCACUGCACACACACACACACACACACACACACACACCACUGCAGACACACACACACCACUGCAGACACACACACACCACUGCAGACACACACACACCACUGCAGACACACACACACACCACUGCAGACACACACACACCACUGCAGACACACACACACCACUGCAGACACACACACACACACACACUGCAGACACACACACACAUCACUGCAGACACACACACACACACACACACACACACCACUGCAGACACACACACACCACUGCAGACACACACACCACUGCAGACACAAGCACACACACACACACCACUGCAGACACACACACACCACUGCACACACACACACACCACUGCACACACACACACACCACUGCAGACACAAGCACACACACACACACACCACUGCAGACACACACACACCACUGCACACACACACACCACUGCAGACACAAGCACACACACACACACACCACUGCAGACACACCACUGCAGACACACACACACCACUGCACACACACACACACACACACACACAAACACACUGCAGACACACACACACCACUGCAGACACACACACACCACUGCAGACACAAGCACACACACACCACUGCAGACACACACACACCACUGCACACACACACACACACACACACACACACACACACACACACACACACACACCACUGCAGACACACACACACCACUGCAGACACACACACACCACUGCAGACACACACACACACCACUGCAGACACAAUCACACACACACACACCACUGCAGACACACACACACCACUGCAGACACACACACACACACACACUGCAGACACACACACACAUCACUGCAGACACACACACACACACACACACACACACACCACUGCAGACACACACACACCACUGCAGACACACACACACCACUGCAGACACACACACACACCACUGCAGACACACACACACCACUGCAGACACACACACACCACUGCAGACACACACACACACACACACCACUGCAGACACACACACACCACUGCACACACACACACCACUGCAGACACAAGCACACACACACACACACCACUGCAGACACACACACACCACUGCAGACACAAGCACACACACACACACCACUGCAGACACAAGCACACACACACACACACCACUGCAGACACACACACACCACUGCAGACACAAACACACACACACACACCACUGCAGACACACACACACCACUGCACACACACACACACCACUGCAGACACAAGCACACACACACACACACCACUGCAGACACACACUGACAGUAACUCUCAACUAAUCACCUU
ensembl:lncRNA